rnacentral:rRNA from 1 species
GACGAACCGUGCGAACGUUGUUCGGAUUCACUGGGCGUAAAGGGUGCGUAGGUGGUGAGGUAAGUCUGAUGUGAAAUCCCGCAGCUCAACUGCGGAACUGCAUCGGAUACUAUCUUGCUAGAGGGUUUGAGGGGGGACUGGAAUUCUCGGUGUAGCAGUGAAAUGCGUAGAUAUCGAGAGGAACACUAGUGGCGAAGGCGAGUCCCUGGAAAACUCCUGACACUGAGGCACGAAAGCUAGGGGAGCAAACAGG